AUUGAACGCUAGCGGGAUGCCUUACACAUGCAAGUCGAACGGAGUGGCGAACGGGUGAGUAAUGGAAAGGAACGUGCCCAGUAGCGGGGGAUAACGACGCGAAAGCGUAGCUGAUACCGAAUACUAUUGGAGCGGCCGAUAUCGGAUUAGCUAGUUGGUGGGGUAAGGGCUAACCAAGGCGACGAGCAGUAGCUGGUUUGAGAGGACGACCAGCCACACUGGGACUGAGACACGGCCCAGACUCCUACGGGAGGCAGCAGUGGGGAAUAUUGGACAAUGGGGGAAACCCUGAUGCAGCCAUCCCGCGUGUGCGAUGAAGGCCUUCGGGUUGUAAAGCACUUUUAGCAGGAAAGCGGUACCUGCAGAAUAAGCACCGGCUAACUCCGUGCCAGCAGCCGCGGUAAUUC
rnacentral:rRNA from 1 species